GGGCCAGACUCCUACGGGAGGCAGCAGUGGGGGAUAUUGCACAAUGGGGGAAACCCUGGUGCAGCGACGCCGCGUGGGUGAAGAAGCGCCUCGGCGCGUAAAGCCCUGUCAGCAGGGAAGAAAAUGACGGUACCUGACUAAGAAGCCCCGGCUAACUACGUGCCAGCAGCCGCGGUAAUACGUAGGGGGCAAGCGUUAUCCGGAUUUACUGGGUGUAAAGGGAGCGUAGGCGGCGAUGCAAGUCAGAAGUGAAAGCCCGGGGCUCAACUCCGGGACUGCUUUUGAAACUGUGUUGCUAGAUUGCAGGAGAGGUAAGUGGAAUUCCUAGUGUAGCGGUGAAAUGCGUAGAUAUUAGGAGGAACACCAGUGGCGAAGGCGGCUUACUGGACUGUAACUGACGUUGAGGCUCGAAAGCGUGGGGAGCAAACAGGAUUAGAUACCCGUGUA
rnacentral:rRNA from 1 species